rnacentral:rRNA from 1 species
UGGGGAAUAUUGGACAAUGGGCGCAAGCCUGAUCCAGCCAUGCCGCGUGAACGAUGAAGGCCUUAGGGUUGUAAAGUUCUUUUGUCAGGGAAGAUAAUGACGGUACCUGAAGAAUAAGCACCGGCUAACUUCGUGCCAGCAGCCGCGGUAAUACGAAGGGUGCUAGCGUUGUUCGGAAUCACUGGGCGUAAAGCGCGCGUAGGCGGCUUAACAAGUCAGAGGUGAAAGCCUGGAGCUCAACUCCAGAACUGCCUUUGAAACUGUUAAGCUUGAGUGUCGGAGGGGAUAGCGGAAUUUCUAAUGUAGAGGUGAAAUUCGUAGAUAUUAGAAGGAACACCGGUGGCGAAGGCGGCUAUCUGGACGACAACUGACGCUGAGGCGCGAAAGCGUGGGGAUCAAACAGGAUUAGAUACCCCGGUAGUCCCUGAGCGGGCUGGCAAGGCGCAU